rnacentral:lncRNA from 1 species
GUGCCUGAGUAAGCCCCAUGGGAACACAGCCGUGGUGGGAAGCAGCUUCCCAGCAGCCCUCCCCGCCAUCGGGAGAAUCCCCUGAGGCCAUGAGAGGGUCUCAGGGAGGUGGACGGCCCAUCAAGUGAGAACCGAGGGCACUGUGCACUCCUGAAUCCUAGGACUCCUCUUAGCUGUGUCUUGUCUCUACUUGGGGUACAAUUAAUAGCAGAGCCAGUCAUGUCCUACCAGCAUUCCUUUUAUACAGGCUGGAUAUAUGUGUCAUUGACUAACAACAUCAACAAUGAAAUGAAUCUGAGAAAACAGGAAAUUGAGAGCAAGAGAAAAAAAAGUUAAUUAUACUGAUUUUGUAUAAGACCCCUUUGAACACAUUUUUAAAAAAUCAAAUAGAAGGUGCCCAGGUCCACUGUGCCUUGUGAAUAUUUGUCUUGUAUAUCCUAGAGAUCUACGCAUUCAUGUGGGAAUUGAAAAGGACCCACAUUUUACUAGAAGCAUCGUUCAUUUUUGCCUCAAAACAAUGCCCACAUGUCAGAAGAACUUUCACAAUUCACAGGAACAGUGACCUAAUUAACCAACCAUAAAAUUGCCAAAUCCCUACUUCUCAUU